rnacentral:rRNA from 1 species
UACGUAGGGUGCAAGCGUUAAUCGGAAUUACUGGGCGUAAAGCGUGCGCAGGCGGUUAUGCAAGACAGAGGUGAAAUCCCCGGGCUCAACCUGGGAACUGCCUUUGUGACUGCAUAGCUGGAGUACGGUAGAGGGGGAUGGAAUUCCGCGUGUAGCAGUGAAAUGCGUAGAUAUGCGGAGGAACACCGAUGGCGAAGGCAAUCCCCUGGACCUGUACUGACGCUCAUGCACGAAAGCGUGGGGAGCAAACAGG